GUAUAUUAACAUCACACCUAUUAAUGAAAUUGGAAGUUUUGCAAAAAAAAAAAGAUCAUUUCGUUUAUGAAGUCAACUUUUUCUAUAUGACCAGAUGAACAAAUUUGUUUACAAGGUUAAUGGGAAACUAACAGAGAUCAAGAUUUGUGCAUUAUUGAACAGUGUAACAACCAACAAGUAACAACAGAUGCAUCAUGCAGAGAAGAUAAGCAGAAAUGCAGAAUAGUCGACACAUUGGUGAAACUGUGCGUCACUGUCAGAGACACGUAUCAGUGGCACAGACCAAAGGCCGAACAUAAGAAAUGAGUCAUGACCAACCAAAUGUCCUACGGCUACACGUAAUCAACACAACAAAACCCGUAAAUCCUGAAAUGAACAAGCAAAAGAAAUUAAAAGCAUAAAGGCUUUGGCUUUACAUGUAACAUUCACUAACACUCUUCAUGUAGUAGUUUUCAGCUAUAGUCCUCGAAGUAACGAGGCGCAUUAGACAAGUGAUAAGCUACCAUAGACACAGAACAACAAACCAA